UACAGAGGUCUCAAGCGUUGUUCGGAUUCAUUGGGCGUAAAGAGCUCGUAGGCGGUCUGUCGCGUCUGCUGUGAAAACUCAGGGCUUAACCCUGAGCUUGCAGUGGGUACGGGCAGACUAGAGUGCGGUAGGGGAGACUGGAAUUCCUGGUGUAGCGGUGAAAUGCGCAGAUAUCAGGAGGAACACCGGUGGCGAAGGCGGGGUCUCUGGGCCGUAAACUGACGC
rnacentral:rRNA from 1 species